CAUGAAGCUGGAAUCGCUAGUAAUCGCGGAUCAGAAUGCCGCGGUGAAUACGUUCCCGGGUCUUGUACACACCGCCCGUCACACCAUGGGAGUCGGAAAUGCCCGAAGUCGGUGACCUAACUGAAAGGAAGGAGCCGCCGAAGGCAGGUCUGGUGACUGGGGUGAAGUCGUAACAAGGUAUC
rnacentral:rRNA from 1 species